AUGCCUAUGAGUAAGUGCUAAGUGUUCAGCAUUUCAGAAGGAAAAUAUUUUCAUUGAAGCAGAUGUUUCUCAGAUUCUUCAGGAGCCUAAAACAUUUCCUGAAAGUGUUGCUACUCUCCACAGGGAAAGACAGAACAGAUCUUCGUUUGGAAAUGAAGCAUCUCGUGAUGAAAAACUUUAGGGGAAGGUGAGAAGAGGUGGAACCUUGGAUGUUUGGAAGGGAGUUAAGUAAAUGGAAGCUGAAAAGAAGGACGUACACACAGGAGAAAACAAAAAGAUGAGAGGAAAAGGAGACAGAAGCUAAAAUCAAGAGAUGGCAACGGAAUAAUGAAAUUCUAGGAAAAUGAAGAAAACAAGAAUAGUGCAUUCCUCUGCCUAAGUACCAGAAUUCAACCCACACAGAGGUCGCUCACUUACCAAGUGUUUCCAGAGGACAUAACUGCAGUACUGUGUUUUGAUUCUGCGUCUGACAAUGAGAAGGAUGGGUUAAGAGGUGACAAGCAAAACUGUGAAGAGCAUCAAAAAUGGUAAAAGAAUAAUCAAAAAUGCUGUUUGAAUCUGGACAAAGUAGCCUGCUGCGAGGUUGAAAUCAUCAGAUUCCCUGUUAUCUUGCUCGAUGAAGCUGUCCUUGCCAAAAUAUAUAAGGGUGUUUGCAGACUAGCCAAGCAUUUCAGUGUGGAGAGGAAUAUCACAGCAAAAGUGAAUUUGAUCAGCCCACAUCUGGGUACCAUCAGAUAAGAAAAGAAGAAAAGUCUGGGGAGAAAAGGGAGAGGGGAAAUUGCUGAAAAAAAUAAAAAUAGACUAGAAAUCUGUUUGGGCUGUAAUUCAUGGCUAUUCUAAAGGAACAUUAGUUUUAAUAAUAACUGUCAGAAGCCUUUUGUGUACUUAUGUAGUUCAAAUCUGAAAUUGUAACUGAAGCUGAAGAAUAACUGAAUGUGGCUUGAGUGCAUGUUUCAAGAGGAAUGUUUUCUCCAGUUGCUAUUGCAGUUAAGGUGCUACUCAAUUUGCCCCACCUUAGCUCUAGCCCCUUCAGAUGAAAUACAUUAUUUAUUUUUAUUCUCAGACAUUUGACAGCUCUUCUGUGAGGAAAAAAAAGAAAGAAGAAAGUAAAUUUUCAAGAGAAAUCUCUUCACACUGAAGGCACCAGUAGUUUUACAUUUAAUUCAAUGCAGCCAGAUGUGAAUUGAUCCUUUCUUCUUAGUUGGUGCAAAGAGAAGCAAAACUAGGGUUUUGUGCAUGAAAAGAAAAAUUCACUGGUUCAUGUAACUUACUUUUGUGAAUACUAGGAGAUUGAACAUAAAAUGAGUUUAAUUUAAAUUUUGAGUGUCAUUAUCCCAUUCCUAUAUUCCUUUCCAUGGGAAUUGGUAGUUGCUGACCAUCAAAAACUGUUGUGACUUUACAUGAUCUGGUGGUGUGACUGAAGACUCUUUGUCUUCUUCCCAGUGUAUUAUCCUGUUUUAUCCAGAGUGAAGUUGUGCUCUGCAGUGCUUCAAUGUUGCCUCCCAUAACAGCACAUGGGCAGAUACACAAUUUCUGUCAGGCCUAUCUUGCAUUUCAAUCAUAAUUUAAAAUAAUUAAGAAAGUUCUGGUUUAAAUGUGAAUUUCUCCAUGUUCAGAGUUAAAGGAUCAGAAAAUUGUAUUAUUCCUCAAAUAUCAAGUGUUAGUGAAGGAUUAUGAAGAUGCUUACUGCGAAGUGCCUCUUUAAUGGAAUGAUCAAUGACCUUUAUUAUUUACUCAUUUAUAUUUGCAUGUAUGUGUUGGUUUUAGCAUGUCUGGGAAGCAGUGAGUGUUUUAUGUAUGUUUUACAGUGCAAGAGACAUCUGAAUUCUAGGGAGAAAGUACACUUCAACAUUUAUUCGAUUUACCAUAUUCAUACUACAGGCCCAGAUGUCUGUGUUUGACAAGAAAAAUUUAUUCCUCCUUGCGAUACAACACAAUAGAUUAAUUUGGAUACUUUAUGGCGUUUUUGUUAACCUUAAAAAAUACAGUCCUUUUUCUAGCUGAGCAGAUGUCCUGUGCAUGUAGUAUGAAACAAACAAGACAAAUGUAUUUUGUCUUGUUUAACUUAAUCAUUGUUUCUUCUGUGGAGAUGAAGUUUGAUUCAUGCUCAAAACCAAAGGUGACCUAACCAUUCUUCAUGCAUUUUCUUCAAUGCACCACAAAAUCAUUAGAUCUUCAGUUUCUAGUAAAGAAAAAUGUUGCAAACAUAACUAGUUAUACGUGAACAACUGAAAACCUGUAAAUUUAUUUUAGUCAGGAGCUAAUUUCAGCCUUCUGCUAUCAAAGUAACAAUGUGGGGAGGAGAAAAGUACUUAUGAAAUAAUAAGAAUAUAUUUAUAUAUAAAUAAUAUGCUUUUAUUAUCUCUCCCUUGUUAGGAAGCACGGUCGUCAGAAUGUUAUCAAACUGAUGAUGCUUCAUUAGCAAAACGGAAUUGUAGGAAGAGCUUUAAACACUAUCUCUUUCCUAUCUUCCCACUGUGAAAGGGCUCAGAAGUUGGCUAAUUUCCAAGAGACACUUAAGCAAAGUGUACAUGAGUAAGCAAUUACUGAGCAAAUAACUUCUCCUGAACUGCACUGCUUUGAGUGGCAGAAGUGUCCUUAGUACAGCAGGAGACAGAAAAGGUCUGUAAUGCAGAACUUCUCUGAAUACUCUGUCUGUGGUGUCAUACUCAUGGCAAACUUUACAAUGCAUGGGUAAAUGAUCAACCUAAUUACAUUUCUUAUAUCCAUCAUAGAAGUCUCAUUAUUUCCUUCUCCCAUCUGUCUCUGCCCAUCUGUUUUCUCUUACGGUUGGCCUGUAAAUUCCUUGGGGCAGGGGUUGUUCUUCAUAUCUAUGUACAAUAUCUAAGGGGAUCCUGCUUUACCACUAAGAAUUAUAAGUAAAAUGACACAAUAAGUAUUUCAUAACCAAACUUUCAUAUGUAAGAAACUAAGCUAUCAGUAAACUAUAAAUGCUUGAAGACCUGAAAGUGUCAGAUUUCAAGCAAAUCAAGGGAUCCUCUUUACCAUAUAGAUAACUUCUGAUUCUAUUUAACCUGUCCUUAUAAACUCUGUCAUUAUAACUGUCCUUAUAAAUUAUGUGUUGAAUUCAGCACAUAAUUGUUUUAUCUGUAAGCCUAUCAGAGUCAAGCUUGUCACAGAAGUGUAGGAUUAUUGUCACCAAGCAUUGCUUCAGAAAACAUGGAAUGCACAGAAAGCAUGGAAUGCUCCUUUGGGAUUCCUGCCCAGUCUCCUGGCCUUGUCUGUUUGCAGCAUUCUGGGUAGGGUGUAUUUCCAAUGAC